rnacentral:rRNA from 1 species
UCGCAGCUAACGCGAUAAGUAGACCGCCUGGGGAGUACGGUCGCAAGACUAAAACUCAAAUGAGAUUGACGGGGGCCCGCACAAGCGGUGGAGCAUGUGGUUUAAUUCGAUGCAACGCGAAGAACCUUACCUGGUCUUGACAUAGUAAGAACUUUCCAGAGAUGGAUUGGUGCCUUCGGGAACUUACAUACAGGUGCUGCAUGGCUGUCGUCAGCUCGUGUCGUGAGAUGUUGGGUUAAGUCCCGCAACGAGCGCAACCCUUUUCCUUAUUUGCCAGCACUUCGGGUGGGAACUUUAAGGAUACUGCCAGUGACAAACUGGAGGAAGGCGGGGACGACGUCAAGUCAUCAUGGCCCUUACGACCAGGGCUACACACGUGCUACAAUGGUCGGUACAAAGGGUUGCUACCUAGCGAUAGGAUGCUAAUCUCAAAAAGCCGAUCGUAGUCCGGAUUGGAGUCUGCAACUCGACUCCAUGAAGUC